GGCAUACAACAUUAUUGUUCUUCCAUGAUUUCAUAUUUUUGGUUGCUCUUCUUGCUUCUCUUGAUUGCCAACUUCAUUUGCUUUAAAUAAAAGCUUCAUGUCAUUAAAUUAGACACAAAACAUGGAGAUUAGUAGUAUAAUUAGAUUAGUGUAACCCAAAAUGUAAUUAUUUACAAAAAACAUUCUAAAAUUGAAGAUAAGAAGGUUUAAAUCAACAUCGUCAUUUGCUUCCACAAAUUACAGCUUCAUGUUCAAGAUGAUUAUAUUAACUACACUUCGCGUAUGGUCUUUUCCAAUAUUUGAAUGGUGGGUGCCCAAUUUUUUGCAGUACUGACAAGGUGAAUGAUUUUUCUUUUUACCCUUACCUUUAUUUGUAGUGUUUUCACUACUUAUUUUUUUCUUCUUCUUGAAGCUUUUCUUUCUGUCAUGAUUCUUUGUUGGUAACACACUUUUAACCACUUGAUCUUGUCUCAUAAGCCCUCGUUGCUCUUGUGCCUACAAGGCAUGUAACCCUUUUGCCAAGUCGUUUAUAUUUUCUAGGGUGGUUAUGGAUUCCUCGUGUCUUUCUGGCAUGGUUACAAGGACUUUUUUUUUUAUAUAUGUAAUAAAAAAACUUUGUGCCAAGUAAUUUUACCUUCUUAACAAUGCCAAGCAAUCUAUGUAAGUACUCUUUAAUGGUCUCAUACUGCUUCAUCUUUUGGAGUUCAAAUUCCUUCAUCAAGUUCAACACUUGCAUACCUUAAAUCCUUUCAUCUCUUGCAUAUUCCCCCU
rnacentral:lncRNA from 1 species